UUUAAUUAAAAAUAUGACACAUUUGAUAGUUUAGAUAUGAAAUAAUACAACAUAUGCAAUCAAAGAGUCUGAUUUUUAUACCUACGAGAUCCCUAGUUUGACACCUCAGAGACAACUGACGCUGGGAUAUUGUGUGUGUUCUUCUGGAAAUUCUAUGCCUUUGUAAGAACGUUUUCUCGUCUGAGGGCAGUUUGGUCACAUUGAUCAGAUAUACAAUGUAUGUGCAUUUUAAUCCAGCAGCCACACGUGUAGAUGUGUGAGUAUGUGGGAAUAAAGAGAUAUCAUCUGUGGUGCGUUUCUUCUUGGGUUCCUUGCGGCCUAAAUAAUUGCUAACGCCCCACGUGUUCUGGAAAAACAUAAGCUAAGCCCAGGAGCCAGGCACCUGAUGCCACGCUAAACACACAGGAGUCUCCUCUGCAUCUCCUCCCCCACCAGAAAUGGGGAGUCCCUGUGGACAGUCACAUCCCACUAAUUCAUCCUCUUUCCUUGAACCACUUCUCAUAAUGUACUCAGAUGUAGAUAAAUUUUAAAAAAU
rnacentral:antisense_RNA from 1 species